GUUUGGACUGUAGUUGUUGGCUGAGAAGACCUCUUUAAUUCCAUCCAUUAUCUUCUUCUUCCCUGCAUCCAUGCUCUUUUCCUUUUCCUUUCCAAUUCCCCACUGUCCCCUCUCCCUGCGCAGCCUAGCAACAACACCUACCUUGUGGACUAUAGCACCUUGAUGAAGGAAGCAGCCUACAACAGUAGCCUGCAGCAUUCAGCUCCAGUGUAGCUAGGAAAAGUGCUCUAGCUUCAAGAUUAAUGCUGUAAGGAAGUGAGGAAGAGUGCGGGAGCUCACCUUAUACAUAGAACCAGCUGAAAUUGCAGUAAAAUUAGAGGCUUGGAGUCGAUCAAUUUUGAAAUUGAUGAUUCAUGACUAGAGUUGGGGAAGUUAGGAUGCUGCCCAUAUCUUCCUUGAGCUGGAAUUGAAGGAGCUAAGCUUUGAAAAAGUUGGAAGUGAUCUUGACUUCGUCCUCUGCUGUGUAGAAUCUUGUUUCGAUCAAUUCGGAGGUUUUUCUUGUGGUGAAAGGCCAAGAUCACUUGUGAACAAGUUCCAAUUCCUAAUUUUGCUGUUGGUUGGUUGUGGGAGCAAGAAUGAAGUGCAACUCAGUGCUGACAGCUUAGAAGCCAGCAGCAGCUUUGAGAUAACUGCAGCAACCUUUGAGCAGGGACAACAGCAACUAUUUUUGGAAAUUAGUUUUGAUUUGGACCUUUUUGCUACAAUUAGAUGCUUCCAGGGUGUUCUUGAGGUAGAGAGGAAGCUGUGAAUCGAGUUGCAACUAUCGGUUUGAGGGAUUUGUUGGAGUUUCUUAUACUUGUUGGUGAUUCGGGACUAAAGGCACGUGACCGCUGGGUUUCGCUUUAAUCUGUGAUCGGAUUUGCAUACUAGAGCCGUUCGUUGCUGCUGCUGCUGUGGAUUCUGACCGAGGCAAGGGAGUCGCGAGCUAGAGUCUUCCCUUCCCUGGUCUUUUGCUAGAGAAGUACCCUUGCAGAGGUAGAUAGAUCUUGCCAUGUACAUACUGUUAUGGUUAGUUGUACUCAGAGCGAGAUUGUGCUGUUGGUUUUUGUAUGUAC